rnacentral:rRNA from 1 species
AUUGAACGCUGGCGGCAUGCCUUAUACAUGCAAGUCGAACGGUAACGGGCCUUCGGGUGCCGACGAGUGGCGAACGGGUGAGUAAUACAUCGGAACGUGCCCGAUCGUGGGGGAUAACGAGGCGAAAGCUUUGCUAAUACCGCAUACGAUCUACGGAUGAAAGCAGGGGACCGCAAGGCCUUGCGCGGACGGAGCGGCCGAUGGCGGAUUAGGUAGUUGGUGGGAUAAAAGCUUACCAAGCCGACGAUCUGUAGCUGGUCUGAGAGGAUGAUCAGCCACACUGGGACUGAGACACGGCCCAGACUCCUACGGGAGGCAGCAGUGGGGAAUGUUGGACAAUGGGCGCAAGCCUGAUCCAGCCAUGCCGCGUGCAGGAUGAAGGCCUUCGGGUUGUAAACUGCUUUUGUACGGAACGAAAAGCCUUCUUUUAAUACAGGAGGGUCAUGACGGUACCGUAAGAAUAAGCACCGGCUAACUACGUG